AGCAGCCGCGGUAAUUCCAGCUCCAAUAGCGUAUAUUAAAGUUGUUGCAGUUAAAAAGCUCGUAGUUGAAUUUCGGGGUUAGUAGGUUGGUCAUGCCUCUGGUAUGUACUGGUCUCACUGAUUCCUCCUUCCUGAUGAACCUUAAUGCCAUUUAUUUGGUGUUUUGGGGAAUUUGGACUGUUACUUUGAAAAAAUUAGAGUGUUUAAAGCAAGCUAACGCUUGAAUACAUUAGCAUGGAAUAAUGAAAUAGGACGUUCGAUCCUAUUUUGUUGGUUUCUAGAAUUGACGUAAUGAUUAAUAGGGAUAGUUGGGGGCAUUAGUAUUCAAUUGUCGGAGGUGAAAUUCUUGGGAUU
rnacentral:rRNA from 1 species